rnacentral:rRNA from 1 species
GAACGAACGCUGGCGGCAGGCUUAACACAUGCAAGUCGAACGCCCCGCAAGGGGAGUGGCAGACGGGUGAGUAACGCGUGGGAAUCUACCGUGCCCUGCGGAAUAGCUCCGGGAAACUGGAAUUAAUACCGCAUACGCCCUACGGGGGAAAGAUUUAUCGGGGUAUGAUGAGCCCGCGUUGGAUUAGCUAGUUGGUGGGGUAAAGGCCUACCAAGGCGACGAUCCAUAGCUGGUCUGAGAGGAUGAUCAGCCACAUUGGGACUGAGACACGGCCCAAACUCCUACGGGAGGCAGCAGUGGGGAAUAUUGGACAAUGGGCGCAAGCCUGAUCCAGCCAUGCCGCGUGAGUGAUGAAGGCCUUAGGGUUGUAAAGCUCUUUCACCGGAGAAGAUAAUGACGGUAUCC